CACGUAGGGGACGAGCGUUGUCCGGAUUUACUGGGCGUAAAGGGCGCGUAGGCGGCCCCGCAAGUCACUUGUGAAAUCUCUGGGCUUAACCCAGAACGGCCAAGUGAAACUGCAGGGCUAGAGUGUAGAAGGGGCAAUCGGAAUCUUGGUGUAGCGGUGAAAUGCGUAGAUAUCAAGAGGAACACCUGAGGUGAAGACGGGUUGCUGGUCUAACACUGACGCUGAGGCGCGAAAGCCAGGGGAGCAAACGGG
rnacentral:rRNA from 1 species